rnacentral:ncRNA from 1 species
GCCUUGUCCUCAACUGCUACUCAAUUUACACAUGCAAGUAUCUGCACACCCGUGAAAACGCCCUCACCCCUCAUACAGAACGAGGAGCCGGUAUCAGGCACAACAUUUUGCCCAUAACACCUAGCCACGCCACGCCCCCAAGGGUAUUCAGCAGUGAUAGACAUUAUCCAUCAGCGUCAGCUUGAUUUAGUUAGAGUAACAAGAGCCGGCCAAUUCGGUGCCAGCCGCCGCGGCUACCCCGCUUGGCUCAAGUUGACAUUAUCGGCGUUAAGCGUGAUUAAAGUAUCAUUAUUACUAGAAUCAAACCUAAACUAAGUUGUGACACACUUGUAUUCAGGAAGUCCCCAAACGAAAGUUAUUCUAUACCACUUGAACCCACGACAGCUGGAAAACAAACUGGGAUUAGGUACCCCACUAUGCCCAGCCGUAAAACAUUUACUCACACCUCAACCGCCAGGGAACUACAAGCCCAAUCUUAAAACCCAAAGGACUUGACGGUGUCCCACCCACCUAGAGGAGCCUGUUCUUUAAUCGACACCACCCGAUAUACCUUACCAUUUCUGGCCCAUCAGUCUGUAUACCUCCGUCGCAAGCUUACCAUGUGAACGCGUAGUGAGCUAGAAGAUUUUUUACCCACACGUCAGGUCAAGGUGCAACUCACGAAAUGGAAAGCAACGGGCUACAAUCUCUAUAAUAGAAUACACGAAAAACUGCAUGCAACACAGUCAUGAAGGUGGAUUUAGUAGUAAAAAGAAAUUAGAAAAUUCUUUUUAAUUAUGGCGCUGGGACGCGUACACACCGCCCGUCACCCUCUUCAAGCCCACCCACCAAGAAGAGGCAAGUCGUAACAUGGUAAGUGUACUGGAAAGUGCACUUGGACUAACAAAAUGUAGCUUAUUAAAGCAUCCCGCUUACACCGAGAUAGAUGUCUAUAAAUAGACCAUUUUGAGCCUAAAUCCUAGCCCUACCAACACUUCAACUUUACUCUCAUAAAAUAAAUCAUUCUCCCCAUUAAGUAACGGCGAUUAAAAAAUAAUUAGGAGCCAUAAAAAUAGUACCGCAAGGGAAAUAUGAAAUAAAAUGAAAAACCUAAAGCACACAACAGCAAAGCUUUAACCUUGUACCUUUUGCAUCAUGAUCCAGCUAGUCUAACCAAGCAAAACGCACUUAAAGUUUGACUCCCCGAAACUAAGCGAGCUACUCCAGAGCAACUAACAGAACCAACCCGUCCCUGUUGCAAAAGGGUGGGAAGACUUUAGAGUAGAAGUGACACACCUAUCGAGCUUAGAGAUAGCUGGUUAUUCAAGAAAAGGAUUUUAGUCCAUCUUUAAGCUUUUCAAGUAUCAUUAAACACCCAAUAAACUUAAAAGUUAUUCAAAUAAGGGACAGCCUAUUUGAAAAAGGAUACAACCUACAAUCUAGGGUAACGAACCCCCCCCCCGUGGCCAAGUCAGCCUAAAAGCAGCUAACUUCCAAAAAGCGUCCAAGCUUCACCACAAACCCUUAUUAAUUCCACAAUUAAUCCGUAACCCACAACCACUACCGAAUAAUCUCAUACUAUAUGAGAACUAUUAUGCUAGAACUAGUAACAAGAAGAAGAACUUCUCCAAAAUGUAAACGUAAGCCAAAAUGAACAUCCACCGGCAUUUACCGCCAAACAGUAUUAACAUUACAAGAAAAUUAUACUACAACUGACGUUAACCUUACACUAGAACAUUUCCAGAAAGAUUUAAAAAGGAGGAAGGAACUCGGCAAAUAUUAGCCCCGCCUGUUUACCAAAAACAUCGCCUCUUGACAAAAUAUAAGAGGUCUAGCCUGCCCGGUGACUCACGUUAAACGGCCGCGGUACCCUAACCGUGCGAAGGUAGCACAAUCACUUGUUCUUUAAAUUAGGACCAGUAUGAAUGGCCUCACGAGAGCUAUACUGUCUCCCCCCUUUAAUCAAUGAAACUGAUCCCCUCGUGAAGAAGCGAGGAUAAUCCUAUAAGACGAGAAGACCCCAUGGAGCUUUAAACUUAUGUCACUGACCCACAUAAACCAAUAAACUUGGACAAAUAUGACUACAAGUCUUUCGGCUGGGGCGACCACGGAGAAAAACUAAACCUCCAUGAUGAAAGGAGCAAUCCUAAUCAAAGAGCUACUGCUCAACGAAUCAAUAAACUGACACAUUGACCCAAACAUUUUGAUCAACGAACCAAGUUACCCUGGGGAUAACAGCGCAAUCCAUUUCAAGAGACCCCAUCAACAAAUGGGCUUACGACCUCGAUGUUGGAUCAGGGUAUCCCAGUGGUGCAGCCGCUACUAAAGGUUCG